CAUGAAAUGGUUACUUUUGAAUAUUUCGUUGAAGUAAUUUACAUAAUUUCAAAUUCAGUUGUUCUCUUGCAUCACAUUAAACAAGAUUUUUCGUAGUAAUAUUUAUUCAAUAAGAUGGCAGAGUAUUCAUUACUGUGCACUACGAUCAAAUCUAACACCACUCGUUAAUGUUACUUACGUAAUGUGGAUAUUCCUCUCGCUUAAUGUCGCAGAUAGGUCGCAUUAGAACGUCGCGGACGGAGGAACGCGUGAGAACGACGAGCGAAUGUAAAGCUUGAGGAAUUAUCGCUCUAUACAACAAUCGCUAAUUACACGUCGAUGGAAUUUAACGGGCACGCGUUAACCCAAAAAAUAAGCUGGAGGCGUGAUUAUUCGAAUAAUAAAACGCUAUGGUGGUCCCGGUUGAUUUUAUGCCAUUUUCUAUUCUCGAUGUGAUGUCAUAUUGUAAUUAUAUCGGGUAGAGUCGAAAGAAGUGGGAUAACACAGGAGAUAAACAAGGCGAACUGGUUUUGUUCUCAAGCGACAAUAUAUUAAAUAUUCAAUGGAUCAACAUGCGAGAAGACGCUACCCACGUACACGACGGAGACGUGGAAUGCUUGUAAUAGAUCUGAUUAUUAUCAACCGUGCCAUGUAUACGCCCUAUUUUAUGAGUUAUAUCUGAAUUAUGAUUUUAAAAAAUUCUUUUUUGUGUACACAUUAGUAGUAACAUCUUCAAGUAUCGUCUAUUAUCCACUUUACCUAAGUACUUAUGGUCGCACGGGCCACGUUCGAAGCGAAGACUUUCAAACGUGGCGGCGCGCAUUUUGAAGCGGGUCAACUAUUUUUAUCCCAACGCUCACGGGUACGUUUCGCUCGUACGUCUCAUUGUCUAUUCGACGUCUGUCGACCUCGCGCUUUAACUACUUGUCCGUUUCCUAUGACGACAACAACGUACGAUACUUUCGAUCUCUUGGAGUUAUUUGUACGUCGAUAAUAAGUAUGUAAUUUUUGUUUUUUAUUCGUCACUUUGUUAUUUUCAAAAAAAUAUCUUCAAUGAUUAUCAGCGAGUUGUAUAAUUUACGAAGACUCUUAUCAAAGAAACGAGUAAUUAGUAAGAUUUAAUCACCGGGUAUUGAAUCUAUCUAAUAUUUUUCUUCCCCCUCGAAAUCGUACAGCACCUUUCCAAUUAACAAACUUACCAGUAAUUAACAAUAAAACGACUAAAAGAUUUAAGACAAACCGAUAGUGGUCGACCUUGUAAUUACUGUAAAUGGCAAAUGCUAUAAGAUUCGAGGUUAAGCGAAAAAUAAAAGGAGAGAAAAAGUAUGUUUUAUUACAUCGACUGCAAACAAGAGAAGGAAAAAAAAAGUACUUUCGUCGUCGUUAAUAUCAUUUAUUAGGGUUGGCAUCUCGUUUCGACGGAGUGUCAGUGUCUGGAUAUAGCCAAGUUUCAUUAACGUUCCAUCAUUACUUCUAAUUCCACUUGUUACUUCAUUGUUACAGCAUGAGAGAAACAUGACAACAUAACUGUUAAGACAAUGUCGAGCAACGUAUAGGCAAUAGACGAUACCGUUAUUCUUCAUGCUGGUUCUUUAGAAGAGAUCUCUGAAGAGACAAUCUUACACUUGCGAACCCAUUUCGAUGGGACAUCAAUGAUAUGUGUUAUGUUCGAGACAUCGACAUAAACUUUUCAUGUAUAUUUCUUUUUUGUCGAAUAUGCCAACGAAGUACAGAACAAAUCGAAGGUAGGAGGAUAAUGGAGUUCGUCCAUGUCAGCGUAAUAAAGUAGUAAUUCAUACGUGUCAAGCUUUCGACUAAUGCCAGAGCUAUCGACAACGGUACGAUCGAUCUUUCUCUCUCCUUCGCACUGUCGUUUCUCCGAUGGCCGUUAUUAUGCUAUUAUGCGUUAUACGGCUUCUAUAGUAUAUACGUUUUCCUUCGUAGACUUUAGGCUCAUAAACCAGUUUCGAAUCAGCGAGAUAUACUUAUAUACACGUACUAUAGGUAUGAAUACGAGUUUGUUCCUCGAGGCCUCGCGAAAUAUAAAUCAUUAAAAUAUGUCGCGCGAUCUUGCCGGAUACAUUGCUGCGAGCAAACUUCGAUAAUAGCGAUAAUGCGAUGUAAUCGAUCGACCACGAUUGAUCAGCCUUAUUGCGCUAGUCAUUUAAGACUCUUUUUAACGUUAAUCACGAUAUCGACAUCGUGCCUUCCAUGUAGGUGUUGGAGGGGCGUGUAGAUAGUACCAUGUAAGUAGUCCAAUUGAUUAUUCAAAUGAGAUAGGUAAUUAGAGUUAUUUACGAUGCUGAUCUCUCGUUCGGUCUCGCGUGCUUCGAAUAUCUCUCUUUUUAUUUAUACGCGAUGGUAUAGGAUUGGGAUACGGUAAUUGUAACACGAUGAAAUCCGAUUUCAUUUUCAUUCUUUUCUUGUUACGACAAUCCCGUGAAAGUACGAUCUAACUUAUCUACUUACAAUUUAAUCUAUCCGCUUAACAAUUUAAUCGAUAGUACGAUCUUAACGCGAUAGAAUUUAUUUUCCAUUAUUUCGUUUUCAUCGUAUAAUUACGAUUACACGGUAUCGAUCGAUGUCGCUGAUAUCGCUGUAAUUUCAUUUUACUCUUUUAUUUUUUUCUUUUUAUUACGUUAGCCGUAGAAUUAUACAAAAUUGCAGUGUACGUGGAACAUUAAUUAUGUCACGAGGAUGUUACGGAGCAACGCACGUGUUCCGAUGUCAUUGAUCUCGUUGCGAUCUAACCGCCGGAGAAAAUAUCGAUGGUUUAUGAAUCGCGCUCGGUUCCUCGUACUUUAUCAUUGCCGGAUGGUAUCAUCAAUAUACCAAGCGUUCUCUUGACUAUUUCCAAUCCGAUGCGGACAGGGGCACGUUUCAUAAAUACACAGAAGAAUAUGCGGAUGUUAUCGGUUGUUCGUUCUCAAUGUUUUGCUUCCAGGUAGUCUAGACCAGCGUUUCUCAACCUUUUUGCCAUUUGACCUAACAUAUAUAUUUGUAAUGAUAUCGCGACCCAGAUGUGAAUGGUAUAAACCGUAUAUCAUAUAAAUGAAUAAAAUUAUGUAUAUUUGAUAAUAA